rnacentral:tRNA from 1 species
GGGCAUAUUCCAGAGUGGCCAAAUGGGGCAGACUGUAAAUCUGCUGGUUCUCACCUUCGGUGUUCGAAUCCAUCUGUGCCCA